UCUAGCUGUCACAUUCAAGUUGAAACACUUUCAUUAUUGUAAAAUACACACAAUGCAGAUGAUAUGCUUCUUCACUAUUUAGUAACAAAAGGCUAACAGUGUUUUAAAACCGUUUAAUUGUGUAGAAAGCUGCACCUGGUGCUUUUUUGUUUCCCCUUUCUCGUAACAACCAGUGAUUAACUGCUAUCUUUUAAUAUUUUUUGGUUGACAGUGAUAAUACUGAAGGCAAUCUGGCACUGUGAAUUCAUAGUCAAAUGGUGACACCAACCAGAUGAGAUGAUGGUGUACCUCGCUCCAUGACAGUUCUAUCUCAGUUCAUCAUCUUAACUAAAAAAUAAUCCUAUCUAACUUGAAAUCCACAGCAGCUAUAAGUAGAAAAUAAAUCCAAACCACAGCUCAGACUUGUAACCUAACAGCUAUCAUAAAUAAUCAGAGCCUAUUUGAAGGUGGAAGAUGGGACAUUAGAAGCUAUUUACACCACUAGAGUGAUGCCAUCGAUCAGUAGCGGCAACCCGUAGAUAAGGCUCCUAUGAUGUCAUGGUUAUUUAUGAUGGGCAUUGACAGUAAAGCUACUAUGGAAUUUUCUCCUCAGACAGCUUCAUUCAUUUUUGUUUGUGAUGCAUUUUGUUGUUAAAGAAGCAAUCAAUAGCAAAAUUGUGGUGAUAAAAGUAUUACUUGUUAAAUAUGUGAAAAAUGCUGCAUGUAUGUAGGAAUGUGGGCAAA
rnacentral:lncRNA from 1 species